UACGGAGGAUCCGAGCGUUAUCCGGAUUCAUUGGGUUUAAAGGGUGCGUAGGUUGUUUUAUAAGUUAGCGGUGAAAUACCGAUGCUCAACAUCGGGGCUGCCGCUGAUACUGUAGGACUAGAGAUCGGAUGCAGCAGGCGGAAUGUGUAGUGUAGCGGUGGAAUGCGCAGAUAUCGGGAAGAACACUGAUGGCGAAGGCAGCUCUCUGGGCCGUCACUGACGCUGAGGCGCGAAAGCUGGGGGAGCGAACAGG
rnacentral:rRNA from 1 species